rnacentral:rRNA from 1 species
UACAGAGGGUGCAAGCGUUAAUCGGAAUUACUGGGCGUAAAGCGCGCGUAGGUGGUUUGUUAAGUUGGAUGUGAAAUCCCCGGGCUCAACCUGGGAACUGCAUCCAAAACUGGCAAGCUAGAGUAUGGUAGAGGGUGGUGGAAUUUCCUGUGUAGCGGUGAAAUGCGUAGAUAUAGGAAGGAACACCAGUGGCGAAGGCGACCACCUGGACUGAUACUGACACUGAGGAGCGAAAGCGUGGGGAGCGAACAGG